UGUCCAGGGAUGGGAAUCGAACCCACAAUGUUCCGCUUACCGGGCAGAUGACAUGUCCAACUAGGCUACAAAGAC
rnacentral:tRNA from 1 species